AUGUCGUCUGCCCUCUCCUUACCGGCGACGGUGCGGCCGGCAUCCUCCGGGCUUGGGCGCCAGCUCUACGGGUCGCCGCCGCGCCACGGUCCAGUGCUGCGACCGAGGAGGCCGCAGGCGGAGCCAUGCCACGGUCUGCUGGCGCUGCGACCGAGGACGAGGCGCUGCGGCGCUUUCGGGCAGGACCACUACGGUGGCGCGCUGGUGGACGAGGGCAUGGCGGUGCUCCGGCGGAGGAUCCGAGAGGCGCGGAUGGCCGAGACCAACUACGAGGCGCCGGCGGGAUGGGCGGACUGGGAGAAGCGCUACUACCCGGCCUACGUCUCCGACGUGUCCGCGCUCGCCGGAGCGCUGCAGCUGCUGGCCAUGGGCACCAGGCCUGGCGUCGCUGCGGCCGUAGCCGCGCUGCUGUUCGCCGGCGUGCCGGUCUCCGCUCUCGCAGUCCUGCACUUCCUCGGUCAGGCGGCGGAAUCCGUUCUGCACCAUGUUUCUUGA
rnacentral:rRNA from 1 species